rnacentral:rRNA from 1 species
UACGUAGGGUGCGAGCGUUGUCCGGAAUUAUUGGGCGUAAAGAGCUUGUAGGCGGUUUGUCGCGUCUGCUGUGAAAAUCCGGGGCUCAACCCCGGACUUGCAGUGGGUACGGGCAGGCUAGAGUGUGGUAGGGGAGACUGGAAUUCCUGGUGUAGCGGUGGAAUGCGCAGAUAUCAGGAGGAACACCGAUGGCGAAGGCAGGUCUCUGGGCCACUACUGGCGCUGAGAAGCGAAAGCAUGGGGAGCAAACAGG